CCUCUCGAAGAUGAUGAAUUGGUGGAGUACAUCCUCACCGGGCUGGAUGACGAGUACGACUCGCUGGUCUCCGCUGUUCUUGCCUGAUCUGAUCCAAUCUCAGUAAGCGAGUUGUACUCCUAGAUGCUUGCCUUUGAGA
rnacentral:snoRNA from 1 species